rnacentral:rRNA from 1 species
GAUGAACGCUGGCGGCGUGCCUAAUACAUGCAAGUCGAGCGAACGGACGAGAAGCUUGCUUCUCUGAUGUUAGCGGCGGACGGGUGAGUAACACGUGGAUAACCUACCUAUAAGACUGGGAUAACUUCGGGAAACCGGAGCUAAUACCGGAUGAUAUUUUGAACCGCAUGGUUCAAAAGUGAAAGACGGUCUUGCUGUCACUUAUAGAUGGAUCCGCGCUGCAUUAGCUAGUUGGUAAGGUAACGGCUUACCAAGGCAACGAUGCAUAGCCGACCUGAGAGGGGGAUAGGCCAAACUGGAACUGAGACACGGUCCAGACGCCUACGGGAGGCAGCAGUAGGGAAUCUUCCGCAAUGGGCGAAAGCCUGACGGAGCAAAGCCGCGUGAGUGAUGAAGGUCUUCGGAUCGUAAAACUCUGUUAUUAGGGAAGAACAUAUGUGUAAGUAACUGUGCACAUCUUGACGGUACCUAAUCAGAAAGCCACGGCUAACUACGUG